GAAAACAAAGGUACGAUCAAUGCACUAGUACAAACCUUUCUAAAACUAAUGAAUUCAAGUGUAAAUAUGCAGACAGAACGCUAAGUGCCAUUCGGUAAAUCGUGUAAAAAUAAAUAGGUAAUAGUGCAACUCUAAAUAAUAAUAUACUAAUCAAUGCUUCCAUGAAUAUUUUACAAUCAUUAUUAGUAAUAAAACUGACAAAGAGUUGUUCGAGAACGAUACGAGGACAGCUGCUGGUGUAUAUGUGUU